UCAGAACACUCUGGCUGUACACGUACUUUCUCAACUGGUACUUGAGUCUCAACGAAAUAGUCACCAGCUCCAGUGAAAUCCUUUCCUGACUCCACCGGGCAGAAUACUAUCCAUAUGGACACCCAAGGGACAAUGUGAUUUAACACUAAAGGCUCUGAAGGACCUGCUCAAUGUGAAGAUAAAACUUCCAGCAGCACAACACUGAAAUAAAGUACAUCAAUAAUGUAACAGCAUCUUAUUAUUAGUGCCUGGCACAUCUGGAAGAAGGAACAAGCAAGACAGCAAAAGCAGAGAACCUGAAGACUGUGAGUUCUAUAAUAAAAAGAGAGAGAGACAGACCAUGAGUGGAGGAGGAGCAGA